UUGAAAGGGAAACGAUUGAAGUCAGUCGUACCUGUGGGUAAUCAGCCUUUUGGGUGUGAUUUUGUGGAGUGUGAGGAGUUAAACGCCUUCAUGCCUGCAUAUUCGUGCACUUUGGGUGUAUUUACCCGUGUGGUAAGUUAACAUCAAUUUCGGUGGUCAUAAAAUGGCUGGAGGAAUGUAGCUUCGAUCUCGUAUUGAAGUGUUAUAGCCUUCGGCAGAUGUGAUGAUCGGGAUUGAGGAUUGCAACGGAUACCCCUCGGGGCUACCUGUCUGAUCUCUGAUCGUUGCUCUGGUGCCGAAAGCUUGCUUACGGUUAUCAAAGUCGAUGGUCAAUAGGUUAGAACGGGUUAAAUUCGUUAAGGAUGUUGACGUA
rnacentral:rRNA from 1 species